UAGCGAUAGCUGGUUUCUCAAAAAAAGAAUCUUAGUCCAACCUAAAGUUACACAAAUUAAUAUAAAUUUUUCCCCCACUUUAGAGCAAUUCAAAUGAGGUACAGCCCAUUUGAUACAGGAUCCAACCUUCACUAAAGGGAAUACCCAACUUUCCUCCCCCCAAGUAGGCUUAAGAACAGCCACCUUUUAAAAAGCGUCAAACCUUAACUGUGUUAACACUAAUUCACAAACCCCCAUCGACCCCUUUCACUCUACUGAGAACUUCUAUAACAUUAUAGAACCUUUAAUGUUAAAACUAGUAACAAGAGAUACCCCUCUCUAUAAUGCAAACUUAAGCCAAAAUGAACCCAUCACUGGCAACUAACAGAAACAAAGUAGUAACUUUCCCCAAGAAUACUCUACUUCCCUGACUGUUAACCUUACACAAGAGCAUCUCAAGAAAGAUUUAAAGAAAAAGAAGGAACUCGGCAAAAACUAAUCCCGCCUGUUUACCAAAAACAUCGCCUCUUGUGACCUAUAAGAGGUCCAGCCUGCCCAGUGACUCUUGUUCAACGGCCGCGGUAUCCUAACCGUGCGAAGGUAGCGUAAUCACUUGUCUUUUAAAUAAAGACUAGUAUGAAAGGCACCACGAGGAUUAAACUGUCUCCUCUUUCCAAUCAGUGAACCUAAUCUCCCCGUGAAAAAGCGGGAAUUUUUAUAUAAGACGA
rnacentral:rRNA from 1 species